AUUGAACGCUGGCGGCAGGCCUAACACAUGCAAGUCGAGCGAGCGGCGGACGGGUGAGUAAUGUCUGGGAACCUGCCUGUUGGUGGGGGAUAACUCCUGGAAACGGUAGCUAAUACCGCAUACUACCAGAUGUGCCCAGAUGGGAUUAGCUCGUAGGUGGGGUAAAGGCUCACCUAGGCGACGAUCCCUAGCUGGUCUGAGAGGAUGACCAGCCACACUGGAACUGAGACACGGUCCAGACUCCUACGGGGGGCAGCAGUGGGGAAUAUUGCACAAUGGGAGCAAGCCUGAUGCAGCCAUGCCGCGUGUGGGAAGAAGGCAUUCGGGUUGUAAAGCACUUUCAGCGGGGAGGCGUUACCCGCAGAAGAAGCACCGGCUAACUCCGUGCCAGCAGCCGCGGUAAUAC
rnacentral:rRNA from 1 species